rnacentral:misc_RNA from 1 species
GCAAACUUGGUCAUUUAGAGGAAGUAAAAGUCGUAACAAGGUCUCCGUUGGUGAACCAGCGGAGGGAUCAUUACCGAGUUUACAACUCCCAAACCCAAUGUGAACAUACCUCUUAUGUUGCCUCGGCGGGACCGCCCCGGCGCCCUUCACACGGCCCGGAACCAGGCGCCCGCCGCAGGGACCCAAACCUCUUGUUUUUUUUGUUAGAUUUCUCCUCUGAGUGGAUUUUUACAAAUAAAUCAAAACUUUCAACAACGGAUCUCUUGGCUCUGGCAUCGAUGAAGAACGCAGC